GACGAACGCUGGCGGCGUGCUUAACACAUGCAAGUCGAACGGUGAAAGCGGAGCUUGCUCCGCUGGAUCAGUGGCGAACGGGUGAGUAACACGUGGGCAACCUGCCCCUCACUUCGGGAUAACUCCGGGAAACCGGGGCUCAUACCGGAUAUGACCUCCUUGGGCAUCCUUGGAGGUGGACAGUUCUUUGGUGAGGGAUGGGCCCGCGGCCUAUCAGCUUGUUGGUGAGGUAGUGGCUCACCAAGGCGACGACGGGUAGCCGGCCUGAGAGGGCGACCGGCCACACUGGGACUGAGACACGGCCCAGACUCCUACGGGAGGCAGCAGUGGGGAAUAUUGCGCAAUGGGCGAAAGCCUGACGCAGCAACGCCGCGUGCGGGAUGACGGCCUUCGGGUUGUAAACCGCUUUCAGCAGGGAAGAAGCCGCAAGGUGACGGUACCUGCAGAAGAAGCACCGGCUAACUACGUGCCAGCCGCCGCCGUAA
rnacentral:rRNA from 1 species